rnacentral:snoRNA from 14 species
UGCAAUUGCCUGCUUUGACUGGCUACAUGAUGAAUAAAACAAAAAAAUCACCAUCUUUCGGCUGA